GCGUCCAUAGUUUAAUUGGCAAAAUGACAGGUUUCCAUCCUGUAGUUAUCAGAUCGUGGCUGAUUGGACGCUCCA
rnacentral:tRNA from 1 species